rnacentral:tRNA from 1 species
GCCGAAUUAGCUCAUCUGGUAGAGCAAGCGUCUUGUAAGCGCUAGGUGGUCUGUUCGAGUCAGACAUUCGGCACCA